AGUAUAAAGCACGUGAAGUUCACUAUUAAAUCAUCCAACGGUUGCUGACAAGAGUGAAAGAAUAGUACCGGUUAUUAAUUCCUAUAAAUGGCACCCUUCACCCUCCAUUUCAAGGCAGACAUACAUAACCCUUCUUCUUCUCCGAAAAUGCCUUUCCAACAAACCCUCUCGAGUCACUCAAUGUUCCUUAUUCCUAGGGGUACCUCUGCAAACAACUCAUCUAAAGCAAAAGUAUUUCAUAUCAUGAAGGUUGAAAGCAAGAGUAUCUCAUAUCAUGUUUUCUCCAUGUCCUUCUCUUUGUCAUUAUUUUGGGACAAGGAGAAAGAGAGCAAUCAGCCAGCACUUGGUAUCAAUCUUUCGAUCUGGAACCGACUGCCUGGAACCCCUUCCUGAUUACUUACCUAGCCUUGGUCUCGA
rnacentral:lncRNA from 1 species